GAAACAGCGAUUUUUUUUACUUUAUAAAUUCAUGAAGUAUCAAUAUCCACUUCAUAUAUAAUACGUUCUGUAAAAAUUUAGUAUUUCUUUUUAUAUGUAGAAAUGAAAUAAUACAUUUUCAGCUAUUUCUCCCACAAGAAACUCUUGGGAUAUUUAUCAAUGGAGGAAAAAUUAUCAACUUGAUUAAAGAUAAGUAUAAAAUUUGUACAUAUGCUAUGAACAUCUCUAACUCACGCUAUUGUUAAGAUGGUGUUUUUGGUCAUAACCAUGUUCGUUUUAUUUUCUUGCACUCCACAAAAAUCUCAUAACUAGUCUUUUUUGAUCGAGGGUUUGUGAAUGAGUAAACACCUCGCCUCUUACCUUGAAGUCAGUCAAUAUUAUCCUACCCAUUUAUUCUAAAUUUUUCAUUUUUAUUAAUAUCAAUAAUAGUGUAUGGGCUGUUUUUUUAGAGCCUGCAAAUCCAAAUUUAUCAAACACUCUCUACCCGACCCGAAAAAAACAAUAUAAAUAGUUAGUAAUAAACAAGGUAAGGAUUGAUGUAUUAAAUAAAAUGAAUUAAAGCUUAUAUUAACAUAUUAUGAAAUGUGGUAUUUCUCGAAAGAGAAACCCUAGUACAAGGUAAACGUAGUUGAAUAACUUGAAACUAGAUCAAACAAACUAAAAACGCCUGUCCUUUUCUUCAUAGUCGUAAAAUUUCUUAACAUAAAAUAGUAUUUUAAAUUGUUUAUAUCUAUUUGAAUAAUUUUCUAUUACUUUUUUUCUUAUUAAAGCCAAUCAUCAUAUAUGUAGUAUUCCAUCAAUUACAUUGAACAAAUGAAUUAUUGACAAACACUUUUAUUUUUUAUAAAAAAGUAUACUUUAAAUUUUUCACGAUUGCUAUUGCAUAUCACAUCGAUGAGUCACAAAAAAAAUCAAAAGGGACUGGUUCUGCAAAAGUUACAACCUAGAGUCUGUUAAUUAAGGAAUAGCAGGAACACAUUUCAAAAUCCAUAGGAUACAAAUCCAGAUUGGAUGGAGGCCAAAAUUGCUCUACAAAAACAUGGACAUGACUCUCACAUCACCUCUGCAUCAUAUUAGACAUGUGAAAGGGAAAAUCGUUAUCUUGUUUAAAAAAUCUUUGUUGAAGCGGAAAUUUACCCAAAGUGGGAUAAAUUUCUUCAGGAUCUUGGAAACGCACUCGAUGUUGUUAAUUUUGACCUCAAAGGCACAAAUAUCAGGAGCGUCCUACAUAAACGACAUUUUGUCUAAGCACAAAAAACUUGAGCAUCACUAAGAUAGUUUUCCAGACUUCAAGAAAAUAUUAAAUUUCUGGUCUUGAUUGACUCUCUUCAAUGAAAGAUUACAUUAAUUAUUUUUAACAUUCAUUAUUGAGAAUAUAUUAAUAGUUUAUUUAUCACGAAAUUUUUGACAUCCAAA
rnacentral:lncRNA from 1 species